ACAAGCGGUGGAGUCAUGUGGUUUAAUUCGAAGCAACGCGAAGAACCUUACCAGGUCUUGACAUCCCUGACAACCCGAGAGAUCGGGCGUUCCCUUCGGGGGACAGGGUGACAGGUGGUGCAUGGUUGUCGUCAGCUCGUGUCGUGAGAUGUUGGGUUAAGUCCCGCAACGAGCGCAACCCUCGACCUUAGUUGCCAGCAUUCAGUUGGGCACUCUAAGGUGACUGCGGCUAAAAGUCGGAGGAAGUGGGGAUGACGUCAAAUCAUCAUGCCCCUUAUGACCUGGGCUACACACGUGCUACAAUGGUUGGUACAACGAGUUGCGAGUCGGUGACGGCGAGCUAAUCUCUUAAAGCCAAUCUCAGUUCGGAUUGUAGGCUGCAACUCGCCUACAUGAAGUCGGAAUCGCUAGUAAUCGCGGAUCAGCACGCCGCGGUGAAUACGUUCCCGGGCCUU
rnacentral:rRNA from 1 species